GGUUAUACAAAAUAUACAAAUAAAUUUUUUUAUUUUGUAGUUAGAUGAAACUUAAUUGUUAAAUUAAAUGUUUAUAAAUAAGGUGAAAUUUUUUAUAAAAAUAAAAUUUUUAGAUAAGUUAAUUGAGGCUAUUAGAUUUAAAUAAUAAACUAGGAUUAGAUACCCUAUUAUUUUAAAAUUAAAAAUUUAUGAUUAGGUAGUAAUAGUUAUGAUCUUGAAACUUAAAAAAUUUGGCGGUAUUUUAAUCUAAUUAGAGGAAUCUGUUCCAUAAUUGAUAAUCCACGAUAAAUUUUACAUAAUUUAAUUUAGUUUGUAUAUCGUCGUUAUAAGAAAAUUUUAUAAGGAUAUUAAUUUUCUAAAUUUUAAAUUUGAAUUUAUUUCAGAUCAAGGUGCAGCUUAUAAUUAUGAGGAAAUGGAUUACAAUAAAUUUAUUUAUACGAAUAGUAAAAUGAAUAUUUUAUUUGAAGGUGGAUUUAAUAGUAAAUUAAAUUAUAUGAUUUGAUUGAUUUUAGCUCUAAAAUAUGCACAUAUCGCCCGUCGCUCUCUUUUUUAAAAAGAGAUAAGUCGUAACAAAGUAGGUGUACUGGAAAGUGUAUCUAGAAUGAAUA
rnacentral:rRNA from 1 species